rnacentral:rRNA from 1 species
AAUAUUCCUGUACUUGGUUAUUGCGAUGGAGGGACGGAGAAGGCUAGGCCAGCUUGGCGUUGGUUGUCCAAGUUUAAGGUGGUAGGCUGAGAUCUUAGGUAAAUCCGGGAUCUUAAGGCCGAGAGCUGAUGACGAGCGCUCUUAGAGCGCGAAGUGGUUGAUGCCAUGCUUCCAAGAAAAGCUUCUAAGCUUCAGGUAACCAGGAACCGUACCCCAAACCGACACAGGUGGUUGGGUAGAGAAUACCAAGGCGCUUGAGAGAACUCGGGUGAAGGAACUAGGCAAAAUGGCACCGUAACUUCGGGAGAAGGUGCGCCGG